UACGUAGGUGGCUAGCGUUGUCCGGAUUUACUGGGCGUAAAGAGCGCGCAGGCGGUCGUUCAAGUCGAGUGUGAAAGCCCCGGCUCAACUGGGGAGGGUCACUCGAUACUGAUCGACUUGAAGGCGGGAGAGGGAAGCGGAAUUCCCGGUGUAGUGGUGAAAUGCGUAGAUAUCGGGAGGAACACCAGUGGCGAAGGCGGCUUCUG
rnacentral:rRNA from 1 species